rnacentral:tRNA from 1 species
UAUUAUAUGAGAUUUAACCUCUCCUCAAAAACA